AGAUGCGGGAGUGAUCUGGCUGCAACAUCUGUCACCCCAUUGAUUUCCGGGGUUGACUUGGCCGAUCUGGCUGCCUAGUCAGGUGUCCUCCUCCUCCCUCACUGGUCCAUGUGCAUCUGUCCCAAAGCUGUUUUCUUAGUUGAAGAGGACGCCCUUCCCUGAUAGAGGAGGAGCAUUCUUCUUAGGUCAAGGGUAUCCGAGUAGCUGCACUCCCCCACUAGAACCUCUAAACAACUCUCAGUGUCCGUUUGUAGGAGAACUUAGGGUAGUCGAAUUUCCAGGACUCCAGAUACCCCCAGAUGAGGUGCUGUAUGAGACAGUUUGCCUUUCUUA
ensembl:misc_RNA 7SK 7SK RNA